AACGAACGCUGGCGGCAUGCCUAACACAUGCAAGUCGAACGAGACCUUCGGGUCUAGUGGCGCACGGGUGCGUAACGCGUGGGAACCUGCCCUUAGGUUCGGAAUAACUCCCCGAAGGGGGUGCUAAUACCGGAUAAUGUCUUCGGACCAAAGAUUUAUCGCCUUUGGAUGGGCCCGCGUUGGAUUAGCUAGUUGGUAGGGUAAAAGCCUACCAAGGCGACGAUCCAUAGCUGGUCUGAGAGGAUGAUCAGCCACACUGGGACUGAGACACGGCCCAGACUCCUACGGGAGGCAGCAGUGGGGAAUAUUGGACAAUGGGCGAAAGCCUGAUCCAGCAAUGCCGCGUGAGUGAUGAAGGCCUUAGGGUUGUAAAGCUCUUUUACCCGGGAUGAUAAUGACAGUACCGGGAGAAUAAGCGCCGGCUAACUCCGUG
rnacentral:rRNA from 1 species